rnacentral:rRNA from 1 species
ACGCUGGCGGCGUGCUUAACACAUGCAAGUCGAACGGAAAGGCCCUGCUUUUGUGGGGUGCUCGAGUGGCGAACGGGUGAGUAACACGUGAGUAACCUGCCCUUGACUUUGGGAUAACUUCAGGAAACUGGGGCUAAUACCGGAUAGGAGCUCCUGCUGCAUGGUGGGGGUUGGAAAGUUUCGGCGGUUGGGGAUGGACUCGCGGCUUAUCAGCUUGUUGGUGGGGUAGUGGCUUACCAAGGCUUUGACGGGUAGCCGGCCUGAGAGGGUGACCGGCCACAUUGGGACUGAGAUACGGCCCAGACUCCUACGGGAGGCAGCAGUGGGGAAUAUUGCACAAUGGGCGGAAGCCUGAUGCAGCAACGCCGCGUGCGGGAUGACGGCCUUCGGGUUGUAAACCGCUUUCGCCUGUGACGAAGCGUGAGUGACGGUAAUGGGUAAAGAAGCACCGGCUAACU